GAUGAAGAACGUAGCGAAAUGCGAUAAGUAAUGUGAAUUGCAGAAUUCAGUGAAUCAUCGAAUCUUUGAACGCACCUUGCACCCUUUGGUAUUCCGAAGGGUAUGCUCGUUUGAGUGUCAUUGUACUCUCACACUUCUAAUUCCUUUCGGGAUUGGGAGCGGUGGACUUGGGUGUUGCUGCUUUAGUUGUGGCUCACCUCAAAUAAGUUAGUGCAACUCUUGGUUGGACAUAGUACGGCGUGAUAAGUGUCUUCGCCGGCGCCUCUGUAAGGAGGGUGGCCGAUCGGGAGCUCUGUGCUUCAAACCGUCUUCGGACAAUCUUUGACAACUUGACCUCAAAUCGAGUAGGACUACCCGCUGAACUUAUGCAUAUCAAUAAGCGGAGGA
rnacentral:misc_RNA from 1 species